rnacentral:rRNA from 1 species
AUUGAACGCUGGCGGCAGGCCUAACACAUGCAAGUCGAACGAGUGGCGGACGGGUGAGUAAUGUCUGGGAAAAUGCCCGAUGGAGGGGGAUAAAUACUGGAAACGGUAGCUAAUACCGCAUAGCACCGGAGGUGCCCCGAUGGGAUAAGCUAGUAGGUGGGGUAAAGGCUCACCUAGGCGACGAUCCCUAGCUGGUCUGAGAGGAUGACCAGCCACACUGUAACUGAGACACGGUCCAGACUCCUACGGGAGGCAGCAGUGGGGAAUAUUGCACAAUGGGCGCAAGCCUGAUGCAGCCAUGCCGCGUGUAUGAAGAAGGCCUUCGGGUUGUAAAGUACUUUCAGCGAGGAGGCGUUACUCGCAGAAGAAGCACCGGCUAACUCCGUGCCAGCCGCCGCGGUAAUUC